GGGGGGGUGGGGGAAGAAGGAGGGCUGUUGGUGGAUAUGGGAGAGUCGACGCUGGGGUUUGGGUUUUUCAUUUGGUUUGAUUUAGUUAGUGGUUCCUGUUGCCUGUAAUGUAUGCUAGCGUAGCCGGGAGGGCGGAACGAGAGAGGAGCAAACCAACGCUGAGUUUGUAAUCGUAAACCAAAAAAAAAAGAAAUCACAUGGCGGGUACGCCUAAGGAUUUUCAUCAUCAAUCAGACUUUCUUUUCCUACGGCGGUAACGCAAUAUGCCUUUUUUUUCUUUCUUUUUUUUUUUACCUGACACAAACCAGAACUCGAAACCAGUCUUAUUUACAUGCCCUGAGGUGCUCCAGAAAACAGGGUCAGUGCUUACGGAGUCCAGCUCUGUGGGUUGGCUCCAGUAUUUGGCAAUCCUGUCCGAAACACUUACAAACCGACAAACCUCCCUUCCCAUGGCCUUGUGCGUCUGAAACUCUUUCUCAUUCUAUGCCUUUCCCCCCCCCCCCCUUUGAAUCAGUGAAUGAGAGUCUCACUUUGUUGCCGAGAUUUUGGUGUCUUAAUGUCCUUGAAGACCCCUGGCUUCAGGAUUACGGUUCACUUUAAUCUGGAAUCAGGUCUUUUACUCACACUUUGGGCCAGACCUGUAUCUGGGUUUGGAGCUAAAUUUGGUAGAAAAUACGUUAGCACCGACCGCUUUCUAUGCUAAUAGUGUGCUGUGAGAUGUAUUAAUCGUUAUGUAUGCAUCUGAGUUUUUAAAAAAACGACAGCACCCCGUUCUUUAUGCGAAGCCCCAAACACAGUUCUGAAUGCACGCCACCCUUUCUCAUGUUAGAUUAUGCACUAUAAAAAUAACAAGUCAUCAUGUUUUUUUUGGUAAUGCAGUUUAAAAACUCCCAAAAAAUCUUUACUCGUCCACUAAAUGUACACAGAGUGUGUUAGGCUGCACACACACACACAAACACAAAUACAUGAGCCACGAUGGCUUUUGUAGUCUAUGCUUCUGUUGAAUAAACCAUAAGAAGGGGGUCCGCGAUCGAAAGACAACCAACAAACACUCUCCCCUUUUGAUAGAGGACUAUAGAUGUUGGAGGACUGAGAACAAUGAUCCAAUCAUCGCACUGAAUGUCUGGGCUGGUCUCGGAAUUUAAACUGAAGUAAUGGGGAAACAAAGAGGGGAAUCGCAGAGAACCCAGAAGGAUUGCGGUCGAGUGAGAUCAAUGGAAAGCAAUAGUACCGGACCGACUAGAUGUUGGACAAAGUUUGAGUCGUAUGAGGAUGAAUCACAACCCGUUCAGUCGGUUGAGAAACAAUCGGAAUGGAAGGAGGCGAGAACGAUGUAAACACAAGGGUUGCACCUACACUGAAUACCGGUUGAAACCGGCUCUGAAAAAAAUACUUGGUACUGCAAAGAGUACCUGCACUACACUGUCACAUUGUGUCAUGAUGCCUUACAGUUUGGGCUGUAUAUAUAUACAUAUAUAUAUAUAAAUAUAUGUAUACUGUGCACUGUAUACUGUACAUCUUCUAUGGUGCUCCUAUGAAGAAUGCAAUGUAAAGGAAAACCGAAACAAUUCAGCGGUUCGACUUAAAAUCACAUCAUGGAGGGCAGUCGAUAUUUAAUAAAUAUAAUUUUUGGGAGAGAGUAUUUGUAGAGUGAACCAUCCACCACCACAGUUAAAUAAAUAAAGAGAGAUGUGGGCGAGUCUCACAGGAUUUGGUUCUUUGAGGGUAAAAACAGUAGGAAGUCUAUUUUUAUCACAGUGACUACCAAGAUGUCUCUAGAUGCACAGAUAGCUGUUAGUCAGCUCUAAAACCGGAAUAAAAGUAGUGAUUUGAUGUCUGAAAGGACAUUUUUCUAUACACAAGGUUGUUGCACUCCUAGCUGAAUUGUCAUUUUAGGUCGAACCAAUGAAUUGUUUUGGAUUCCUUUUUAAGUUUCACUGAUUUUACAAUUGUACUGUACUGUAUAUUUCUUUUGUUUGGUUAUUUUUAAAUGAGGUCAUCAGACCUGGGUCAAACAAGACGGCUUGAACCACUUACCUUACCGUUGCCCUUGCUCAACACCUAUUGCAGUGUAUCCAUCAAAGUAUAUACUAAACCCUAAUCUUAGUUGUUUAUUUUUUCCUGCAAGUCUCAGGCUUAAAUCUCUGGUUUUCCCUAUUAUAGUUUGUUAUCAAGAUAAUCAUAAUGACUCUAAAAUGUUAUGCAAAAAUGAAAUUAAUUGAAUAUUUCAGAAUAUCUAAAAGUCUCAACAAAAUAUUUCAAACCUCUUAGGUUUUAAUAAAUCAGUUGAAUCUGAGAUAAUAAAUGUGUGGUCAUUGAGUGUCAAAUUUCUCCCAAUAUGAGAAAUGCAUGCCUCAAGAUGAUGGGACACCAACAAAGGACAAUGACCAUCAAUGAUCAUCAUUCUGGGAACAGUUAAUCCCCACCCAUGCCCUCAAUGCUAUGACCCAGGUGUGAUGUAAUGGGUACUGUACACGUUAAUCCGAUAUCACAUUUGCUCUCUCUCGCUCUCUCGCUCUCUCGCUCUCUCUCUCUCUCUCGCUGUUUACACUUCUGCACUGCCAAACAAAAAAACGUUUUUCUCUGUCCGUCUUGUGUGGUAGUAUCCCACUAUUUCCAGGUCUCUCUCUCACUCUCCGUCUCUCUCUCACUCUCCGUCUCUCUCUCACUCUCUGUCUCUCUCACGCUCUCUAGGGUCAGGGAUUUGAUUCGCUCGCACUUCAUUCAGAAGCUGAUUUCAAUUCAGUUUCUCAAUCCCCUUUGACACUCAAAAUGUAUGUUAUAACUGUGUUGUUAAUUAAAGUUAACGGUGGUUAAAGCUCAUUCGAUGAUGAGGAGAUCGAACACACCCUGGUGUGUUUACAUCAUCUACUCCUAUUUAAUCAAGUACGGCCUAGGUUAGGCUAUGGACAUUGGGGAUCGAACGCUGAACCUUUUCCGGUUUCAACACCCAAUAUCCUCUAAUACAUUCUUGCCCCUACUACCUAAAGUGUGUUGUGAUCUCUUCAUUGAUAUAAGCGAUUAACAUGCCCGAAUAUUUUACCUUAUUUUGAUGGAAGUUGAUGCCGACUGAACCCAACUCUGACCGCCUCCUUAUGAAUGAAACUUCUCGUAAUAUUUCCCGGGAGUAUAGCUAAGCAUUUUUAACUGGCUCAGUGUGUAGUGACGUGGUUCAAACUAUUUGAUCAAGUGGUUCUUGUGAAGCAGUCAUUGAAAUGUUUGUUUUAAAAAAAAUGAAAAAAACUGAAACUAAAAAUAUCCUCCACUUCACUCGGAGCAUAAUGUGUCUUGUAUUUGAUACUUGGAAAAUGUAAGCACACGACCAAAUAGGGCUUGUACAUCAGCGUGCAUCAUGGGAUAUUUUGUUGCCGAUACGCCAUAUUGAGUGCUAUUGACUUCAUAUCGACGGCCAUUUUGAGAGGACUCAAGAGAGUUGUAGUUCUAUAAAAUCCUAAAUCAUCGUAAAUAUACCGUUAACCAGCCUAAUGAAAACUUAGUUUUUCCACGCAACGGCGGUUAAAAACAUAACGAUGUCCCCCCCACUAAUGACAAAUCAUUUCCUGAUUAAUUACUAAGCAUUGAUCAAAAAAUACUACUCCUAACAUAUUAACAUUCCAUUGUCCUUUGCUUCCAAAAUGGAGGUGGACUUUGGGAUCUGACGUUGUGAUGUACAGGCCCUAUUGUCUGCAAGUCUAGUCACUGGUUUCUAAAAUAGCUUUUUAUAUAACCAAAAAAAAUCAACCUGUCCUCUUGUUUAUCAAAGAUCUUUAUCUUGAAAACUGUAUAUUAAAAAUCCUAAAUGUACAUUUUCUCUCCAUUUUUUUUCUCUGGUAACUCUGCUGUUGCAAGUGGAUAUGAAGUGCUGUUGCCAUGGAUACCUUUUCCCUUUACAAGUGCACUCUAAACUCAUAAUGCUAAAUUGUGCAAUCACGUUGUUUCCGAGUACAUUCUGCAAAUGACCCCCCCCCCACAGUUUAAGGCAUAAAAUAGCAGCAUUUGUCAGUCAUACUAAAUUGAUGUAAAACUGUUAAAAAUACACUUUAUGGGGGGCUU
ensembl:lncRNA